rnacentral:RNase_P_RNA from 2 species
CGAAGCAGACCAGAUGGUCGCCGUCCGCCGUAGCCUCUGGCGCAGGCGGAGGGAGGAAAGUCCGGGCUCCACAGGGCAUGGUGCUGGAUAACGUCCAGCGGGGGUGACCCCAGGGAAAGUGCCACAGAGAGAAGUCCGCCCACCGAAGCCUUGGCGAAGGUGGGUAAGGGUGAAAGGGUGAGGUAAGAGCUCACCGGGUCCGGCGGUGACGCCGGAUGCCAGGUAAACCCCACCAGGAGCAAGACCAAAUAGGGAAGCGUUAAGGACGGCCCGUCCGUGCUUCCGGGUUGGUUGCUUGAGGGUGUCGGUAACGGCACUCCUAGAUGAAUGACCAUCGCCCGCCUCCGGGUAACCGGCUGCGGGUACAGAACCCGGCUUACGGGCUGCUUCGGCCA